GUCCACGCCGUAAACGAUGGGUGCUAGGUGUGGGCGGUGUCGACUCCGUCCGUGCCGAAGCUAACGCAUUAAGCACCCCGCCUGGGGAGUACGGCCGCAAGGCUAAAACUCAAAGGAAUUGACGGGGGCCCGCACAAGCAGCGGAGCAUGUGGUUUAAUUCGACGCGACGCGAAGAACCUUACCAAGGCUUGACAUGUGCCUGAAUGUCGUAGAAAUACGGCAGCCCUUCGGGGCAGGUUCACAGGUGGUGCAUGGCUGUCGU
rnacentral:rRNA from 1 species